UACGAAGGGGCUAGCGUUGCUCGGAAUCACUGGGCGUAAAGCGCACGUAGGCGGCUUUCUAAGUCAGGGUGAAAUCCUGGAGCUCAACUCCAGAACUGCCUUUGAUACUGGAGAGCUUGAGUCCGGAAGAGGUGAGUGGAACUCCGAGUGUAGAGGUGAAAUUCGAUAGAUAUUCGGAAGAACACCAGUGGCGAAGGCGGCUACACUGGUCCGGUACUGACGCUGAGGUGCGAAAGCGUGGGAGCAAACAGG
rnacentral:rRNA from 1 species